rnacentral:rRNA from 1 species
GACGAACGCUGGCGGCGUGCUUAACACAUGCAAGUCGAACGGAAAGGCCCUGCUUUUGUGGGCUGCUCGGGUGGCCACCGGGUGAGUAACACGUGAGUAACCUGCCCUUCACUUUGGGAUAACUUCAGGAAACUGGGGCUCAUACCGGAUAGGAGCUCCCGCUGCAUGGUGGGGGCUGGAAAGUUUUGGCGGUUGGGGAUGGACUCGCGGCUUAUCAGCUUGUUGGCGGGGUAGUGGCUUAGCAAGGCUUGGACAGGUAGCCGGCCUAAGAGGGGGACCGGCCACGCUGGGACUGAGAUACGGCCCAGACUCAUACGGGAGGCAGCGGUGGGGAAUAGUGCACAAUGGGAGGAGGGCUGAUGCGGCCACGCCGCGUGCGGGAUGACGGCAUUCGGGUUGGAAACCGCUUUCGCCUGUGACGAGGCGUGAGUGACGGUAAUGGGUAAAGAAGCCCCGGCUAACUACGUG